CUACCUUUCUUCUCUCUCCUUUCUCACUUCUCUCUUACAAACCCUCUCUUCCCUUUGUCGUCCAGAUCUAGUUGUUCACAUGCCGGUCCAUCGUGAGGUUCAGUGGAGGUGGGUCGCCGAUCGUCAAAUCUGGCAGUUCAGUUCGCCGUCCAGUUCGUUCAUCGUGGAAGUGGGUUUCCGGUGUUCGGGUCAUCCAGGUCUUCCGAUUUGUAAAGGUCUUCCGAUCGUCGUGGUUGGUAGUUUAAUCGUGGGUCUUCCAAUCUGUAGAGGUGGGUCACCUACGUUCGGGUCAUCCGGGUCGUGGGCUUUUCUGAUUGUAGAGAUCGCCAUUCACAACUCGCUCAGAUCUAGUCUGCUAACUCUGUCGUGGGGUUCUUCAGCUCGUUGUCCAGCUCGUUCUAGUCAUCAUCGUUUUUCUGCUCAGAUAUUUUCGCUUUACUUAUUUUUCUAACCUCGAUCUUCACUCAAAUCUAGUUUUCCGAGGUUUCUUUUUGUAUGAUUAAUGGGUGCACUUAUUUCUCUUCCAUUUUACUUUCAAUUCGUAAGUUUAAGUUCUAGGGAGAGACCGGACAAUCUGAUGAUAUACACUUGUGAUGUCAGAGAAGAGUCCUCUUUUGAACAGGAAAAUUUGGUCACGUAGAUCUUCGAUUUUUCCGGGUCCAGUUUCGAUGAAACCUCGAUGAAAGCCCACACGCUCUUUUGGACCUGAAGAAGGGACGGCGACCCCUAAACAAAAAGGUUUUUCAUAAAGGAGAUUUCCAGCUUGUGUGCAAAGCCUUGCGAAUGAGUAAAUAACAUCACUAUGGUUUUUGACAUUAAGAAGUCUGAGGUGCUUUAUUCUCGAUUCACUAAUGAAGAGUUUUUCCAAAUGAGAUGCAAAGGGAAUAAGGACGUUUCUUUUCAUUAUCAUGGUUGUCAAAAUAUUGAUAAGAUAUGGAGAAAUGAUAUCUUAUCUUGUCAUGUCUAUCUUCGACACUGAUCUUCGGGGGCUAGCUUAUAUUCACACUAUUCCUGGAGUUCGUCAUCGAGAUGUAAAGCCUCAUAAUCUUUUGGUAUGUAACGUAUUUGUGUCUUAUCAUUUGUGAGCUAAGUAAUAGUUUUUCUUCUCCUCUUCUUUCAUGAGUUCAUUUUUAUUCUUCUUUCUGACGUUUUUAAUCUCGAGAGAAUACCCUGGAAGCACUUUGUUGAGCUUUGGAAGCUUUUGGGCUCUAAUGGGUUUCACCAGACCUCAUAAGCCCACCAAUGGCUUCUCUCCCAGAUGGGUUUUUCUGUUCUGCAUUGCUAGCUUCUUCCUGGGUAUUUUUGUUGUCGAUAGUAAAUGCAAUUACCAAUAUCAAGUCAAACUUAUGGGAUAAAAAGGGAUUGGCAAGGAGAUCCAUGUGUGCCAGUGGAAUACCCUUGGAGUGAAUUGAAUUAUAUAGCAAUGCAACUACUUCAAGAAUCAUUUACUUAUUUUGAGUAUGGAGUACACGAUGGACAUCAUACUUACUUUGAAGCCGAGAAGAAAUAUGACUCAUGUAUCUUGCGUAUUGGAAGGUGGAAAGGUUCGAGAAGAACAUUUUGAAGAGGGGUUGUGCCUGAGACUACUACAAAGAAGGGAAAGGACUACCCUAUUGGAAGUCAUGUUUUUGAUUUGGAUCAAAUCUGUGAUGGAUGGUAGAGAGAACAUAACAAACGAGCAAUUGAAAGACUAUUUGGAAAAUACUAUAUAAUGGCAACAAGUGUGUGAGCAC